AUCCCGUCAUCUGAGAGUAGUCACUAACUGUCCUUACAGGGGCUUAUCCUCUGCUCUAGAAGAUUUCAGAAGUUAGUCAGAGAACGUGCGUGCCUGCAGUGAGCCGAGUGUAGCAGGGUUGCUGAGGUGACAAAUUGUCCCCGAUGUCCCUAUGCAAAGCUCAGAAAGCACCAAGCCUUCCCAGAACUCCCCAUUCUCUGACCUUGUGACCUCAGGCUCCAAGGCUUCCAAAGCCCACAGUCUCCAUCUGGGACUUAGAAAGGACCUAUAUUUGUGUGACGUUGAACUGAGGUGAGGAAGGCCAGUGUCACAGUUGGCUGUCAAAAACGCAAAGCAGAGACCAGAGGGCUUCCUGAGACCUCAGUCUAUCCACUGCAGCAUACAUGCUUCGGGCCUCUGGACUGAAGGAGCCUGGGCCUUUGAGCCUUGCCUACUCGCUGCUGCUCUGCAAACAGUAUCUCACGGCCAAGGGUGGGAGACAGAGAAACUCAGAGUUUAAAGCUCCUCGCGGAUGCUCUAGGACCCCUUACAUUGUGAUGUUAUGUUAGAUUUUAUUUUGAAAUAUAUCUAGUGGUUCCCCAUGUGGAUCCUUGUUAAGAGCAAACUGAAAAGGCAUGAAAUUCCUUUAGCGUGAAGAAAUGCACUUAAUGAGUUCCAGAGCCCAAUGUGAACGGCCUCAGCCCCUGAAACAGUCAUCUGGAUGCCAUCGAUGGUAUUUUAUUAGAUAGGCAUUUAAUUAGAGGAAGCUUUUGGGCCAGAUUCUUUCUUAUAUAUAUUCAGGAAUUUCUUACACGGCCAUCCCCCUCCCCACCCACCCCACCCCCGCUCUUUGGCCCUGCGCUUAAAAUCUGAGUAGUAAGACUUUUUUCUCCUCAAGAACAUCUUUGAAGAUUUAAACCAAGUAA
rnacentral:lncRNA from 1 species